UACGAACUGUGCAAACGUUAUUCGGAAUCACUGGGCUUAAAGGGUGCGUAGGCGGCUUGUUAAGUAGGGUGUGAAAUCCCCCGGCUCAACCGGGGAAUUGCGCCCUAAACUGGCGAGCUUGAGUGAGAUAGGGGUGUGUGGAACUUCCGGUGGAGCGGUGAAAUGUGUUGAUAUCGGAAGGAACGCCAGUGGCGAAAGCGACACACUGGGUCUCAACUGACGCUGAGGCACGAAAGCCAGGGGAGCAAACGGG
rnacentral:rRNA from 1 species